UGCUCAAUUUGGAAGUUUUUCUUAGCUGUUAUCUGGGCAGAAUGCUAAUUGAUGAGUAUAUAAGCAGAAAGUCAAAAACCAACACAGAUCCAAUUGAGAACGAAACAAUGUUGAAAUAUUUCAAAGUUGCUGCUGUGGGAGCUCUGGUCUUAAUCAGUCUCAUUAUGACUGCUUAUGGGGGAGGAAAAUCAGGACGAAAAGAAUAAAAACAGAUACAAUAAAGCAGAAAUUGGAUAAAGUCACACUGUAUGGACCAGUUUUGGAGCACAAAAAAUAUACUAUGUAAUAUUAAAAUUUCUGCUUAAUAAAUUAUUUCAAAAACCGA